rnacentral:lncRNA from 1 species
GAGACUUACUUACCUACAUCAUUUGAUGAUUUGCUGUCCAUUUUUUUUGUAGUUAAAAGUUUUGCAUUCAUGUUUUGUUCUGAUUUGUUGGAAUUGGAAGGCAUUCUCCACAAACCCCCUUUGUGUGAUGACUUGAACGGUAUUAUUGAUAUUAGCUCUUAAUAUCUUUGGAAUAGUGUGCUUUAGCCUUUACCUUCUCAUAGCUGUUAUCUAGUUUGCUUUUUAUUUUCUUUCUUUUAUUGGAUCAAGUUACUCAGCUACUGGGUUUUGGUCCUCUUGUUCUUAUGUUCCAUUCUUGUUGAGGUCUCUGUUUUCUAUUUAACCUAAGUAUCUCACUAGGUUGUUUUGAGAUAUGCAACGAGGUGGAAAUUUGUGAUUGGGGUCAAUUAGAUGGUCUUCAGCUGAUGACCUCUUUUUUCCUCUUCUUUAUUUUGAGAAUGAUUAAUCAAUAAUCUUAUUUUGUUCAUGCACCCAAUUCGCUUUUUGAUGCUUCACGAUAUGAGGUUUUUUUUGUCAAAAUGUCUUGGAAGAAGUGGGGAUGGAUGAAGAUAUCCCUUUAAUUGUUUGUUAGGGAAGAGGUAGGUUUCAGUUCACUGCUAUGCUAUGUUACUUUAAUUAUUGCAUUAUAAAACUUAAUUCCCAGACAACGGAAAUGAAAAAGUUUUAACUCUUUUCUUUAUCCUUCGAGUUGUGCUUACAUGUGUUUGCUUUGAAAAAAUUUUGGAUGUGGUUUUCUGUUAGCGGGUCACACAUCUUUUAGUGAUAUAUUUAAGGAGUUCUUUCUCCGUCGGUCGCUUUCAAGAAGAGGGAUUUUGUAAAGACCCUAGAUAGGAAAAUAGUGGAUUACUGGUAGAAAAUGUAGAAAAUAAAAAUAGUAGUUAACAAACAUAUUAGUAAAUAGUUAGUAAGUUGGUUACAUCUUUUUGUUAUAUAUAGUAUGGGAGAGGGGUUGAAAAGAGGUGUGAAGAAUUUUGAAGAAAUAUUUCCUUGUAAGGGAACCUUGAGAAAGUCCAGCCCUCUCAAAAGGCUAGGAUUACUUGUUCUUAUGAUCUUCUAGUAUAUAUUUCAUAUUUGAAUGUUCUGUUAAGAGUUAUUGAGUUCAUCUUAUUUUAUUGAGAUAAUUCUGGUUAGGUGAGAUCCUAACAAAUUAGUAUCAGAGCUGUAACAUUUUGUGGAUGACACAGGUUAUGUGUAGAAACAAAACAGAGGAGAGGUUGGAAAAGAAUGAAGACAUUAGGGAGCUUAAAUAUUUAGAGUUGUCCAAAAGAGUUGAAAGGAUGGCAGAGGAAUUACGAGAAAAUAGUGUUCAUCAUCUACGAAAAGAAUCUAGUAUGUCGAAGAAAGUUGAAAGGAUGGCAGAGGAAUUACGAGAAAAUAGUGUUCAUCAUCUACGAAAAGAAACUAGUAUGUCGAAGAAAUUUGUGUUGAAAAGUAAAGGAAGGAUGGAAGAAAGCACGGGCACGAUUGAGAAAGGGACUUGGGAGUAAACACCUAAAUGCGCUGUGGUUGAAAGAGGAGAGACUCUAUGAAUAUGGGAGUAGAUGCAGAAAUGGAUUGUAGAUUGCAAAGAGAAGAAUACAUAGGCAUGCUAUAUCAAUGCAUCAAAAGCUUUCUAAAGGGCUGCAAAGUGAUAAAGAAAGAGAGGGGAAGAAACUAGCAAAAAUCAAAGUUAGAGAAAAAGAGAAAUGGAAAAAUGACUUGAAGAUGAAGGAAUCAAAAAAACGAGCAUGAAAAAAAUGGAGGAAAGAGGAAGCCAAAUCUAAUUGUACAUUCUUAUGACCAACGAUGAAAGGUGAAGUGGUCGGAGACAAAUACUGAGUGGAAAUGGAAACACUAAACAUAGGAGGCAGAAGCAUGGGAGAAGAGACGGUUACUAUUGACGAGAAGGGAAAGUGUAUGAAAAAUGAAUGAUUGAGAGAGUUAUCCCUGACCCUACAAGAAAAUGAAAAUCUC